UACGGAGGGGGCUAGCGUUGUUCGGAAUUACUGGGCGUAAAGCGCGCGUAGGCGGCCCUGCAAGUCGGGGGUGAAAGCCCGAGGCUCAACCUCGGAACUGCCUUCGAUACUGCGGGUCUCGAGUCCGGGAGAGGUGAGUGGAAUUCCUAGUGUAGAAGUGAAAUUCGUAGAUAUUAGGAAGAACACCAGUGGCGAAGGCGGCUCGCUGGCCCGGUACUGACGCUGAGGCGCGAAAGCGUGGGGAGCAAACAGG
rnacentral:rRNA from 1 species